rnacentral:rRNA from 1 species
ACCUCGACACUAGGAGGCAGCAGUGGGGAAUAUUGCACAAUGGGGGGAAACCCUGAUGCAGCGACGCCGCGUGGAGGAAGAAGGUCUUCGGAUUGUAAACUCCUGUUGUUGGGGAAAAAGAGGAUGGUACCCAACAAGGAAGUGACGGCUAACUACGUACCAGCAGCCGCGGUAAUCUGAGCGGGCUGGCAAGGC